rnacentral:lncRNA from 1 species
AGAAGACCCACCUGAGGAUUGUUGCCAGUGGCAUAAAAACAGAACUGGAGGGGAAGACCUUUUGCUGUUGAUUUUCUUGGAGAAGAUUGCUGAAGGCUGGUUUUCCUGCAGGGAACCUGGCUGUUCUCCUUUUCUCGUCAUCACAGGAGCUCAGAUUUGAGCAGUCUUGUAACUUCCCCAGCCUUGAUUUUCUUCAUCCCAACAAUGAGGAACUGAACAAUAGGCAAGACAAACCCCAAGAAAGAAACUAGCAGAACAAAACAAAACAAAAAGGAGCAGAGGAUGACAGGAAGAGAAGAAUUGCUCUGAGAAAG